GGGCCCUUCGUCUAUCGGUUAGGACGUCAGGUUUUCAACCUGAAAAGACGGGUUCGACUCCCGUAGGGCCUACCA
rnacentral:tRNA from 1 species